rnacentral:rRNA from 1 species
GUCCACGCCGUAAACUAUGGAUACUAGGUGUUUGGGAAAUUAACCUCCUGAGUACUGAAGCUAACGCAUUAAGUAUCCCGCCUGGGGAGUACGGUCGCAAGGCUAAAACUCAAAGGAAUUGACGGGGCCCGCACAAGCGGUGGAGUAUGUGGUUUAAUUCGAAGCAACGCGCAGAACCUUACCUACCCUUAACAUCCCCAGGAAGUAUGCAGAGAUGUAUAUGUCCUUUCGGGGACCUGGAGAUAGGUGCUGCAUGGCUGUCGU